CCCUUGGUGUGAUGACAGUAAUUUGCAUUUUUCCAAUCAAUGAGAAGAUAAAGGGGGCAGAGAAGGAAGAGAUUCAUUUCAGGGCAGCACAUUGCUGUGUGAAAGAACUACAUUUCCCAGUCCAUCUUGAAGCUGAUGUGAUCAUGUGACUGAGUUUUAGUCAGUGAGAAACAAGCAAGAAUAUGGGAGUCUAAAGUGGAAAAUGGCAGCCUCUCUUUGGUCCUAUUCCCUUCCUGCUACCUGGAAUAUGGAUGAAAUCACAAGAGCUUCAUAUGUUUGCAAAUUGUGGCCCUUUGCUAAGUGACUGAAAGAACAUGGAAGAAACCUAAAUCCCUGACACUUGUGUCCACCAUACUGCUUCUGACCUGGAACUCUGGGCUUGAUCAUGUGGGAAAGAAAACAAACCUUAUUAUAUUUUG
ensembl:lncRNA